GGCCGCCGGGGCAGGCUCAGCCCGAGCGGCGGGGCAUGCCGCGCCGAGGCGGCGGCAGCAGCCGGACGGCGUGGAGCACGGGCGCGGCGCGGGCCACGGGUCGCUCCGCUGUUCUCUCACAGCUCCCGGCGUCGCCGCUCUCCAGCGCCCGCGUCAGCGCCCAGCCCGCCUCUGCUCCGCCGCCGCCGUCGCUGCUGCUGCUGCCGCCGCGGCCGCUCCACUUCUACAGACUUGAUUCUUCGACAGCCUCGCACGGCGCCUGCGCGGGCCCCCUCCCCUCGCGCGCGCGCGCGCCCGCCCUCCCCCGCGCCCGCGCCCUCCCCCUCCCCCUGCGCGGGGAGAGAACGAGCGCUGCCGGGAGAGCCGGCUCCGAGGCGCCCGCCCGCGGGUCAGCGCCGCCCGAGUGCGCCGGGGCCGGUGUCCCCGAGGGGAAGGCGGCGCGGCCGUCCCAACGCUCGGCUGCCUCCACUACUCGGUCCCCAUUCCUCCCCUCCAGGACGUUUGGGCCAAAUCGCGCUAGUGCUCGUGUUUUCAAAAGACCCUCGGUGACUGGCGCUGUCAGUCUCGAGAGCGGGAACUGUCAGUGUGGCGUGGCUCAGUUCUGUUUCUGAGGAGUUACGUGUGGACUCACACUGGGCGCUUGCACACUCGCACCCGUCGGGACGCACGCGCGCGCCGCGGUGCCCUAAGUUUCACGAACGGCGGAGUCUGCCCCCGAGCCCGGGGCCGCGUCCGCACGCCGAUCGGCCGAGGCCUGGGGACCCUCGCCAGCCUCAGCCCCGCCCUCCCCUCCUCCUCCGCAGUGGCCCGCCCUGCCAAGCGGGGAGCGGCGGGUGGGGGUGGUCCUCGCGGCGCCGGCAGACCCCGCCGCCUCCUGUCGGACCGCGCGGCUGGCGCGUGACGUGGGCGCAGAGCCGCGGGCCCGCGUGCGCCGCCGCCGCCGCCGCCGAGUGCGCACGCUCCGCUCGGACGUGAGUCGGCGCCCCUGGCACUGGCGGCCUCAUUGAACGAAUGCACAUUCCUGGGAUCCGGGGUCUACGGCCGGCGCGGUCGCGUCACCGCGCAGGCUCCGCCCCCUCCGGCGACAGAAGGCCUCCGGGCCCCGCCCUCGGGACCAAACUUGGGCCGGAGGGGGCGCGGGCGCCCGGCUCCGCGCGCGCCGUGGGGUGGCCGGCUGGCCGGCCGGGGGGUUGCGCGGGGCCGGGCCGGGCCAUCGGCGGAAGUCCCCGGAGCCGUCGUGGGGCGGGACCGACGGCGUGGCCUGGGCCCGGGGGGCCCCCGGUGGGCGCGGACCCGCCUGGCGCGAAGGCGGGGCGCGGCCGCAGAGCCCGCUGGGCCCGCAGCGCUGUGCCGGUGCUGGCGGCCGCGGGCCGUGCCCGGACUGAAGUCAGUGCUCGAGUGUCCCACUUUUAUUGGGAGGAGGAGCUGCUGUGUGCUAUGGUGAAUCGCUUCUGGCCGGUCUUAGUCUUACUGACUAACAGACGCGGCUUAGUCACUGUCAGUGGGGACCCAGACACCUCGGCUCUGCACGGGCAGCCCUUCGGAGCUGCUUUUGUUGGAAAACAGGCCCGCAGCGCCCGCUGAGACGGGACCGGGCUGGCCCCGUGUGGGAAGAGCAGGGUACUCAUUACACUAUCUUGCCUACCACUGGGUCGGUAGGUGGAGAGAGAAAAAAAAUCCUGCUGACGUUUCUCUGUAGUUGUUGCUGUUGAAAAUGCCAGGUUGCUUCAAAGGACUAACCACAAGGAAGAGGAAAAACACCCUUAGCGAAAUAGUGGAGGGAGCUGCCUCAGCAGCAUGAAGAAACCUGUUCCAAAGUGGCGCAGAAAACGUAAUGCCAGGCCCAGAUGUUUUUACAGGCCAAUCCUGCAUGUCUUCUCCUGGGGAUUUCCAGAGAAGGUGUGCUUGCCGUCGAGGUCUCCCCAUCUGGUCCCGGGUCUUGCUUGCAAUGGCAGUCCUGCCUCACCCUCCUCUAGCAGGGGGCACUGGACAUGCCCAGUUCCUUCCCUGGAGCAACUGGUGCCAGUGGGUUUGGUCAUUCCCGAUACCUGCCGUCUGGAGCCUCUUUCAGGACCUGUCCCUCUGGUCACUCUCCAGAGAGACCCUGUGCCACUCAUUGUAGCACGUGACUUCUCUCUCAGAGCCACUGCUCGAAGUGGAUGAGGUCUGGGCUUUGUGCUGCAGACAAAUUAGCCAUCUGGACACACCCAAGACACGGCCCCCCCAGAGAGUCACCGGAAGACCGUGUGUUAGAGCCCUGGCGUCAUUAUACUCCUUUACCUGCAAGCUGGUACUGUAAUACCCUCAAGGGAAAGCUUGCCAUUCUAUUCCAAAAUAGAAACACCAAGAUACAAAUUCUGCCUUGGGAGGGACUAAGUAAGGAUUCUUGUAGAAUGGAGCUUUUCUUCUCCAAAUGAAGGGCAUUUCCUUUUUAUUUUACACUAGGAGUUUAAUGUCGAAACCGAGUUGUUGUAACUUCCCUAAUGAAAUGCCUGCUGGAGAAUGGAGAGGCUAUUUUAGUUCUGGUCUCCCUUGCCAUAAAAGGCUCCGGGAUCAAGGGGGUUAAGGUUGGCCCUGGAUCCUGGACAGCAAUUCCUUAUAUUGUAUCAAAAGUCUUUCAUGCUGCCUGGCCUUUCAUGUAGCUCCGAAGCAGCUUUAUCGAUCUAUGCUAAGUAAACAUAGCUUUGUUUUCGUCUUCCACCCUCCGCCCUCCCUCCCGGCACAGACUGGAGUUGGAUCCCUUCCAAAGCGGCUGCUGCAGCAGCAAGAGCCGCCUCCUCCACACACAGAAGCAGGGCUUCUAGGGUGAGGCAAUGCGUCUGCAAUUCGCAGAGACAAGGCAGGAAUUGUAAUUGUAGUUCAUCAUGUGAUGACUUAUGAAAGAGGAAGUUGGUAUGUUUUAGUCACGUAGACUCUGCCCUCUUGCUUAAGGCUGCAGGUCCUUUCAGAAGAGCAUUAUGAUCUUCUUUGCCACUCAGAGUCAAGGUUACCAGGUUGGCUGCAGGGAGCUCCUGUACAUUCAUACGUGGACAGGCAGGUGGAAGCCGCAGGAAGGGUUGGUGGGGCAGUGGGUUGAGGCUGGUUUUAAGCAGAUUGCUGAAAUACUGGAAUUUGUCUUAAGAACUAAAGAAAACAUUCUACGGGGAAUACCUCUGCCGAGAUUAGAUGAAGCAACAGUCCUUUCCAGCUCUUAAUUUCUAAGAUUUUUUGAAAAAUAAAAAUCAUCCCCAGUUUAGGAGCAAAAGGAAAGCCAUUUAUUAUGAUACCAUCAAAAAGCAGGAAUAAGGGAAGUGAUCGGAUGUUUAGCCAAAAGGAGCAGUUCUAAGCAAUAGCUCGAUGGGUGGAAGGAAUCUGCUCUCCCCACACUGUAAUUUACAUGGGCUUCCACCUGUGAGCAUUAAACAUCUAAAAUCGGAACCCUCCCGGAGCUUACUCCAGUGGAGAUGCUCUGGUUAACAUACCACAGCCCUGUACUGACAGUCCACAGGGCAAUGUAAAAAAAAAAAAAAAAAAAAAAAAAGGUUCCUUCCAGAGGACCCUGAGGGAAUUCUGCCCUAAGGACAUGCAGCUGGGGGAGGGUUGCAACGUGUGUGCUGUCCACGAGGUGGUAUUCCUGGAGGCUUGUGAGUUCAUGCACUUCACCCUAUAUUCACAUGUGGAAUCACAGCCUUCAUUCUUCAGAGCGCAGUUUCUAUUAAUAGCGUGAUGUUGCAACCAUACUAGAGCUUCUUAAACUCUGACCCCAGCAUAUUUGGAGGAGGAGGGAAAAAGGCAGCCUGUAUGUCAUUUGGGAUUCUGUGGAUAACAUCCUCAGCUCCUUGUACUUGGACAAAACUGCCAUGAGAUUGAAGAGUGCAUGUGCUACUUACGGUUUUUCUACUUUAAAAAAAAAAAAGUUAUAAAUAAGUACUUGAACAGACCUGUUUAUAUGAAUACGUCUGAACACGCUAUGGAGAGUCGUGACACAAAUGAACCUUCUGUCAUAGACAGAAGAGCGUUUCUUCUAAGUAGUGGCAUUUUAUGAGACAGUUCUACUGGUUUUCAAAUUGCAAAUACAGUUUUUUAGAAAUACUUUCCCUCUGUGUGACCUCUCCCUGUAGCCUGCCUCCCCUGUGCACAGAAAGCAUUUGGAUAUUAAGGAUAUUUUUGCAUGUGGGGGAGAUAAACUCUCUGUGGAGGGUCUAAGAAUCAGGCCAAAUAAAAUCACAGGAGCUCUUAAUCACUCACAUAUUAUACACAGAAGCUGUUAGUCACCAGUCUAUGUGUAAACAUAUGUAUAGUUCCCCGUUUAGAGUAAAAAUUGGGGUCUUGAUGUAGGCUAACUACUUACUGUGUCAGAAUUUAAAGCGCUAAGUGAAAAAUACAGACAAAGGAGAGAUUGAGGUCACACACUCGCUCAGUCUGCAAGGAAAUUUGUAGGAGAACUGGAAGGGAUUCAACAGCCAUUUGCUGCCAGAACCCUGCUAUUGACUUUUUGGAAAGAGCAUGAUGAAAUGUACUUUUCUGGAAAAAUGUCUGAAUGUGGGUUUAACGGAUAUUUAAGACACUCACCAAAAUCCUUUAAAAGAUAUCACUGGGAAGAUGCUGACACAAUAGUGAACUAACCUCAAGGAUAAUGUUUGAAAAUAUUAAGAAGGUGAAUUAGCUUACCUACUUAAAAUGUGACUUUCCUGCAUACAUGUUCAGUAGUAAGGGGACUGAAAAAAUGAAAGAUGUUACAAUUCUAAAAGGUUAAGGAUAAUAUAAUUGUCUUGUGUUUAUUAUAUGUUUAUUAUACCUUUCAUAUGGACAUUCAAAAAAGAUAUUUCAACCGUGAAUUUUAUUAUCUUGUCAUCCUUUUUCAGAAACAGAAACCUAAGGUAUUGAAAGAUUGAGUGAUUUGCCUACAGUAGAAUUAACGUUUUAUGUACAGAGGAGACACAGAAGGCUCCCUGCAGAAGGAAAAAAGGAAGAAAAACUUAAAAGACUCAUCAUGGGCUGUAAUUUAUUAAUUGGAGUAAGUGUGCAUUAGCACAUCUGCUCCUGUGCCCACAUGGCAAUGCCUCUUUGCCAAGGGGAGUGCAGAAUCAUCGAGACAAUCCAGAUUCAUGCUCAGAACUGAGUUGACACAGAGAAGAAGAAAGCCGAACUUGUCUUGGGAACAGACAGCCAGAGUUUGUGCCCUGCCGAAAGACCACCGGUGGACAGAAAUAGAGAAACAGAUUUCCUAUUGCGACUGCCUAAAUAUAGUGUGUUUACUAAAAAGCUGGUCACAGCUAAAAUGCAAGUACGGAUGAACUUUGAUGGACUUGUUGGCCUGCCUUGUCAGCCCUUCCAGCAAAUUCCUUAGUGAGGAAACCGGUCUGAAAACUUGCCUGGGAACUUCACACAUGGGAACUUCCUAGGGGCUAUCUCUUAGCAUUUCAGAGAUAGUUAGAUUUUGAACAUUUUUCAGAUUGCUUUUAUUCCACUACCUAUCGAUCUGCCUACAUUUGCAUUAACAGAUCAAUUCGUUCUUCACCAUGACUAAGACGUCAUGUCCGCUCACUUUAUCAAUUUAUUGGAGCACCAGGGAAAUGAAGACUUUGCUGUAAACAUCCGCCAGAAUCCACGUUUCCCGGACUGCAGUUCAUUCUUUAGCCCACUGGUGGGCUACCUCCUAUUUCUGUUUUCUUCCCAGGUUCUUUUUUUACAUACAUGUAAAUACCCACAUAAGAAGUGGGUGAGGAACCAUAGGUUCUGUUCACACACCCAGCAGAUCACCUGAGGCAGGUCACUUGAACACCCUGGGCCUGGCGUUUUUCUCUACUGGGAGAUGAGACGCUGAACUCGAUGCCAUUUCUACCCAGACCCUUCCCACGGUGCGCGAUUUCAUGGGCAUACAGGGGACUUUGACAAACCCAAGCCCCACAUUCUUCUGACACACGUGGCAUCACAAAACAAUGCAUAGGAGUGACCAGUGAGCGUCUGCCCAUGAUUUGGGGGGCGUGGUGCCAUCGAAAUAAAGUUGUGAUGUCAUGUGGCUACCAGAUUAUCCCAUCAUCUAACAUUAUGUCUGCUUGGUCUGGGCUCCGAUCCCAAGCUAAGAGUGUCUAAGCCACGGUCUGUACUUAGUUUAAGUUAGCCAGAGCAAAAGCAUCUGUAUCAGCAUUAAUAUGCCCAAUUGAAGUGUCUCAAGGCUUAAUGGAAAAUAUUUAUUUCCACAAGAGACCACUUUAUUUUAAAUAUAUUCAUAUAUCUUAAUAUAUACAUAUAUAUGGCAAAGAUUAUGUAUAUAUGUAUAUACGUCAUAUAAAAUGGGCAAAGAUUCAAUAUCUAUUGACAGCCCCUUCAGAAGACUCAAGAGGACCUCAGUUGAGUAAAACGAAAAACUGUUCCAUACCCUGACAGGCAUUUGGCUGGAUAGAUCAGCAGGAUGUAGAAACUUGUUUUGAGGGUUUUUUUGGAAUUCUCACCCAGGAUUCCUCUGCUUAAUAGCUGGGCGGCUUCUCUGCUGGCUAUAUACUGAAUUUAUAAAGGAUGUUGGGGGAGAUAAGUUCUAGGAAUCCUUGUGUUUUAAAUUUGUUACCUAUAGUGAAGUGUUACAUUCAUAACGUUCUGUUUGUGUUUCGUUUAUUUGACUCUGAUUAUGACAAAACCCUAAUGACGUUGCUGAAGUUCUGUAUACUUCAAAAAUGGUGUUGGUGGGAAGCACUUAUGUGUGGGCGUUUCAACUAUUUUUCUAAAACCAAAAAAGAGCCAUAUUCCUUGCUUUUCAUAUUAAAAAAUUACUCAAUAUAUUUGAAAAUGAGUGUCCCGGAAUCAGACUUCCAGAUUCCAUGAAUUCAGAGUGUGGAAAAGGAGAAGCAGCCCCUUUUAGCUGUAACAGGAGACAUUCUUUUAAAAGCCUGGAAUGCUGAAGCCCUCUUAUACUGAAAACAUGUCAGGACAUGCCUUUUUGGGAUGCUGUCAAGUGGUUUAGGCUCAGAAUUCUACAUUCCAUACUUUUGAAGUUGUUUUCUGUUGGCAGACGACCUCUUGAUUAUUUUCAUGUGGUGGGUAUUCAGACCAACCUCUCUGGUUCCCCAUAAUUAACUACCCCCCCCAAAAAAAACAGCCCCCAAACCUCUGCCCUGUCAAGUGUCCAUAUUUUAGCAUACAGUUAUGGGUCGUGUCAGUGCUGGGCUUAUGACGGUCAAUCCUAUGAGCUUUGUCACAGUUUGUCGCAAAAGUCAGUUCCAAAUCAGGUACACAUGACCUAGAGCGCUUUAUCUUCCAAUGCUCCUCCCACUUUUUGAGUAGUGUCACCAUGUUAAGGAAUGAAAAAUUACUGUUGCAAAAAAGUUUUCACUUUUAAGGAGCUGUCAUUUCCCUAGUAAAAUCAAGUAGCAAUUCCCAUUCACCUUGGCUCGUUUUGUGGUCAAGGCUGGGAACGGGUUAGUGGACACAUAGACAAAGGAACUGGUGACCGGUGUCUGUCCUGACUCAGAGAGGCGCAACUGCCCCCUGGUGCAGAAGAGACCAGUUCAGCGCAAACCAGUUCUACCGCUCCGCAGAACCCCUGUUUUCUAGGAAGUUGUGAUUCAUGGGUUGGAGAGCGACACUACAGUCCGGUACCUUGUACAGCAUGAACCUAGUUAAAUUAAAAGUGAAUGCUCCCCCCGCAACCCUGUCUCCCCAGCCACCAAGAACUCAUUUCAUAGGUGCUUCUGUUUGAGGCUCCCAAACAAAGGUAGCCCAACUUAAAACCCGUCACCAUCUGCCUUAUUAUAGAAGACACAUCAGUAGAUGUUUUGAUAUUUCUCGUUUGUGAGCAGCCUUCUCAACAUGCCCCCAAAUGGAGAGGUGUAAUCUUGAGUGAUGGUUUAAAAAAAAAGAAAAAAAUAAGUCUCAUCUCAUUUCACUUUGUGGGAAUUAGUUCUUAAUUGUCUGUUUUAUUGGGAAAUUUCCCAGAGAUUUAUACACUAUGAGAAACGAGUCUGGAAGAAGCCAAACAGGACAGACAUAACAGUCGAGUUCUUUGAAAACAUUUCAUCUUGCAGACCAAGACUACAACUUGGAAAUCAUUUUUAUGCUUUUAUUAUGGUAUAUCCAUCAUGAUAUUUUAGGUGAAGCCAAUAGAGCCAGCAUAAGGAAGAAAAGCAGUUCUCUCUUCAAGCUUUGCAGAGGUAGCAUAAUUUAAAUAAUUCUAUGGUGGAGUUUCAACACCUCCCAUUGAGCACCGUUGUUUACGAAGUAAGAACAGUAAUCCUCACGUAAAAAAAGGUGGUAUUGCUACCCGAGACAGCAGAUGGUGUUAUUAAAUACACAGGCAAAGUCUAAGGUCAUAAGGAACUAACAAUUAACCAGAAAUACGAUCUGUCACAGUCGUUUAAUGGGUAACCUACCAGAUAUAUGCCACUUGCAUUAUCGUGAGUGUUGGGGGGUUCGUUGUCAAGCUUCUGAGCGGUUACACAAUCAGUUUGGAAAUACUGUGAGGAUAUUCUCGGUUAAGCAUUUAGUGACACCAAUAAACUAGAAAGAAAGUGAACAUCGGAGUGAUUUCCUCAUAAUCUUGUUUUCUGUUGCCUACUUUUUAAAAAUACUUUACCGUUUCAGAUUGCACGACUUCACAGCUCUUCCUGAAGGUGAUUGGUCUACUCAAGCUAACCCAUGUCAAGAUUCUGGAUUUUGUGCUGCUAAUUCGAGUUGCUUCUUCAUUAGGCUUCUUCACAUUACUCUCCACAUAUUUAAAUAUGUAUAUUUACAUUUCUCCACAUUUAAACUGAGUCAGAAAAGCAAAGCAUCUGAAGGCACAAACUCCCAGUCUGAGACCUUCCUCUACGCGCCCAGGGAGCUCGAUUCUCCAUGUGGCCAGGACUCCCGCUGAAACUUCCAGCAGCCCUGAGAAAAGCCAAUGAGGUACCCUUGGGCUGAAUGAAUGAGAACUUUCUGGAGAGCGGAAGACUGGUGGAGGUCCAGCUGGAAAAACAUAUGGCAGCAGAGGCGGAAAGAGGGCUUCAUGACGGAGAGCUUUAUAAAAAAUGUCUGGAGGCUCAAGGCAGCCGUUACAACCCAAGAUCUUACUAAGUGUGAUGGAUCUUCUUACUUCUAGGACAGCCUCCAAUUUACCUGGAUCCCAGCCAACACUGCAUCCUCAGGUGUCCCUUGGGAUGGUGCCCGCAGAAGAACAGUGCAGCUCCACAUUCUACCCUCAAGGCCAGGACCCCAUCCCUGCUCCCACCCCACCCCGAGGGGGCACCCAAGAGGGCAGCUCACUGUGUUGUCCCAAAAGAAAACAA